rnacentral:rRNA from 1 species
AGUGAACGCUGGCGGCAGGCCUAACACAUGCAAGUCGAGCGGUAACAGGAGAGAGCUUGCUCUCUUGCUGACGAGCGGCGGACGGGUGAGUAAUGCAUCGGAAUCUGCCCUGACGUGGGG